UACAGAGGUGGCAAGCGUUGUUCGGAAUUACUGGGCGUAAAGGGCGCGUAGGCGGCCUUCUAAGUCAGACGUGAAAUCCCCCGGCUUAACCUGGGAACUGCGUCUGAUACUGGGAGGCUAGAGUAUGGGAGAGGGAUGUAGAAUUCCAGGUGUAGCGGUGAAAUGCGCAGAUAUCAGGAGGAACACCGAUGGCGAAGGCAGGUCUCUGGGCCACUACUGACGCUGAGAAGCGAAAGCAUGGGGAGCGAACAGG
rnacentral:rRNA from 1 species